CGGGUGAGUAACACGUGGAUAACCUACCUAUAAGACUGGGAUAACUUCGGGAAACCGGAGCUAAUACCGGAUAAUAUAUUGAACCGCAUGGUUCAAUAGUGAAAGACGGUUUUGCUGUCACUUAUAGAUGGAUCCGCGCUGCAUUAGCUAGUUGGUAAGGUAACGGCUUACCAAGGCAACUAUGCGUAGCCGACCUGAGAGGGUGAUCGGCCACACUGGAACUGAGACACGGUCCAGACUCCUACGGGAGGCAGCAGCU
rnacentral:rRNA from 1 species